UUGCACUGUUCGUAACCUGGUGACAGCAUCUUCUGCCAGUGGGUUCCAUUCCAGUGCUAUAACAAGACCCAAAAUGAGAAAAAGCCAGAUAUUUCUGCCUGUCUUUAACCUCUGUUUUGGGUACACUU